CCUACGGGGUGCAGCAGUGGGGAAUAUUGCACAAUGGGGGAAACGCUGAUGCAGUGACGUCGCGUGAGUGAAGACGUCUUUCGGGAUGUAAAGCUCUAUCAGCAGGGAAGCAGCAAGACGGUACUUGACUACGUAGCCCCGGCUAACUACGUGCCAGCAGCCGCGGUAAUACGUAGGGGGCAAGCGUUAUCCGGAUUUACUGGGUGUAAAGGGAGCGUAGACGGUAGGGCAAGUCUGAAGUGAAAGCCCAGGGCUUAAACCUGGUACUGCCUUUGAAACUGUUAGACUAGAGUGCUGGAGAGGUAAGUGGAAUUCCUAGUGUAGCGGUGAAAUGCAUAGAUAUUAGGAGGAACACCAGUGGCGAAGGCAGCAUACUGGACAGUAACUGACGUUGAUGCUCGAAAGCGUGGGGAGCGAACAGGAUUAGAUACCCGAGUAGUC
rnacentral:rRNA from 1 species